rnacentral:rRNA from 1 species
AGUGAACGCUGGCGGUAGGCCUAACACAUGCAAGUCGAACGGCAGCACAGUAAGAGCUUGCUCUUACGGGUGGCGAGUGGCGGACGGGUGAGGAAUACAUCGGAAUCUACUUUUUCGUGGGGGAUAACGUAGGGAAACUUACGCUAAUACCGCAUACGACCUACGGGUGACAGCAGGGGAUCUUCGGACCUUGCGCGAUUGAAUGAGCCGAUGUCGGAUUAGCUAGUUGGCGGGGUAAAGGCCCACCAAGGCGACGAUCCGUAGCUGGUCUGAGAGGAUGGUCAGCCACACUGGAACUGAGACACGGUCCAGACUCCUACGGGAGGCAGCAGUGGGGAAUAUUGGACAAUGGGCGCAAGCCUGAUCCAGCCAUACCGCGUGGGUGAAGAAGGCCUUCGGGUUGUAAAGCCCUUUUGUUGGGAAAGAAAAGCAGCAGGUUAAUACCUCGCUGUUCUGACGGUACCCAAAGAAUAAGCACCGGCUAACUUCGUG